GUGAGGUUAGUGACAGACGUGAGGGAAAGGCGUGUGGAAGCACACAGUUACAUGUGGGGUCAAGAAGAUCACUCCCACUGGAGGUCAUUGAUCCAUCAGCCUCAGAGCUCAGCAGGUCUUGUGGAGGACGAGGCUCAGAUGAACUGAGGAGACGGGACCAGCAGGAUGUCAGGAUCAGGGCGGGUUUAGCUCAGGUGUGUCUACCCCCGACCAAACAGGAUCAGGCAAACUUACGAGGAUCCUCGUUGGUGGAGUGAUGUCGUCCUCCAGAGUCUUGGCUCCUCCAUCAGCUCUCCUCAGCCAGAGUCUUGGUCUGGUAACAAACACAUUGAUGGUCAUCCUCCAGAUUCACGGCUCC
ensembl:lncRNA